rnacentral:lncRNA from 1 species
UGAAGGAAUCUUAGGGGUGGAUAACACACUAUGCUAAUGUGCUUGAGUGUCUAACGACUUUGAGGACGGGGGGGACCUCAGGGUCAACUCGAGGAAUAGAAACACUGGAUACUUAAUGGGUACCAGAAGAGUUUAGGAAACAUGGAGGAGUGGCUUACCUAGAAACUGCCUGUUUGAAUUUAGGCAGCAGACACAGGUGUGCAUUUUUAUAUAUUCUCUCUACACAGUAUUUAUCCAUGCAAUACUAAGAUGCCAAAAAAAGAAAGAAAAGAUUUAUCAAAUUGAUUGAAGCUUAAAAGGCAGCUGGGUCUAAUGGCCCAAGCUUGUAAUCCCAAUACUAGGGCUGAAACAAGAGAAUUGCAAACUUAAAGCCUGUUUAGACUAUAUAUAGGGAGUUGCUGUCUCAGAAUACACACACACACACACACACACACACACACACACACAGAGUGACAGACAGACAGAGAGAUAGACAGACAGAGCAAGAGAGUACACUGAAAGCCAUUUGUUACUAGGUGAUUAUAUUUCUUUAGCUAACUUGUUUGUGAAGCCCUUUAAGACAGUGUCUCUUAGAGGACUGUGAGAACUUCAGCACUAUCCUGCAUUGUGAUUUAGGUAUCAUUUUUGCUGGGCUAUGACCCUCAACCUUUACAUAAUGGCUGGUUUAAAUGUUACUAUGGCGGUAGUCUGUGAAACAGAUCAUUGCCCAUAAGCUGAGGCCUCGUUUCUUCAGCUGAAGGCCUCAACAGACCAAGCUCUCCAGAAGAGGUGGGGAGGAGGGCUCUGUUCUGGGCCACCUCAGCAACACCGACUGCUGCCAAAUUUCUAGCUUGCUGGCCUGCCUCUCACACUUGAGAGUUAGCAGACCUCUCCUGGAAGCAAGUGCCUAAAGAGUCAAAUGAAGUUUAAUCUCAUGCACUCAGCUCUGCUCUCUCUAUGCUCCUUUGGUUCUGUUUUCAGUAGAAUCCUUUAUUAUCAGCAUUUGUUAGAAAGGCAGGGUCAGGGCUCCCUCUUAGACCUAUUGAGUGAAUGCAUGUCUCCAGGUCGUGACAAAUCUGCUGGAACAGCCCCUACCUCCAUUUGAUGUGAUGAACGACCAGGCUCCAGAGCUACCGCAGGUGACUAGAGAAGCCCCCACCUGAAGCUGAAGAGAUAAACGUUUCACUAGGUGGUUACUAAUGUGAUCUGGAUUCAUUCUUGUUGCUUUCAAGUAGAUGAAGUAGUAGUCCUGAGUGUCUUGAUGACUUUUGGACAGAUUAUCCCAAUUUCUUAAGAAAAAAAAAAAAUCCUGGAACAAUUGUAGGCAUUUGUAUGUGGUUCAAAAUCUUCGUAGGAGCAGUCAUCUCGUCUGUUAUAUUAUCCAAGAAAAGAUCACUUUGAGUAAUUUAAAAUUAAUAGCUAUUUUGCCAUAACUGUAGCUCAGAGCUCUGGCUUAUCUCGACACUGUCAGUUUUUCUAUGGUAAGGUGACACAUCGAAGUCAAAAGCAGAGACACUUGAUGUUUUAAUCAGCCUAUAAAAAAUGCACAGGCCCCUUGAGGCAUUUUGAAUAUUGAAAAUAGUCUUUCCUUAUUUGAUUAUAGUUUUUCAAAGCAUCUCAGAGACCCCUUGUUGUAUGUCUUUGCACUGAAAGAAAAUUUCAUAUAUAGAUGCCAGUUAAAUUACUAGGACAUAGUAGUGUGACAUAUACCAGCUAUAUCUCAGGAAAACGUAAUGCACAAAAACCACAUCCCUAUUUCAGUUACCACAGUGGAUCUUCUGCUGUAGAUGGUGCCUCUCGUGUGGAGGAGAUUGGAGUUCCAGGAUCUGAGCUGGAGAAUCCCCAUUGCUGAACUGUGACUGACAAAGCUUCUGUGAGAGGGACAGUCCAUGGAGGUUUGCAGUGAGCAGGCUUCUGUGUCGCCUGUCCUGCAGUCUACCCAAGUCAACACUUAAUCCACCUUCACCUCAUCACCAGAGUAACCUCCCUCUGGGAAGGUGGAAGGUACACAGACGAUGUAAUGCAUGAGGAAGUCUGGCAGGAGAAUGAAUUUGAAGAAUUAGGCAACACUCUGAAACUAAAGAGCCAGCAAGCCUUGAACCAGUGGUGAUAAGUGGGAGUUGUAUAUGAGCAAGAUGAAACUUACUAUGGGUCACAAAGAGAACUGACUGGUGACCACAGUGAAUAAGAACUCAAUGGAUACUUGAGGUUUACUGGAAGAGUAAUGGAGGGUGUGUGGUAGAAAUAUAUUCAUGUAUGAAGAGGUAAUAAUCUGCUAGUAAAGUACAAAUGGAAUCAGUAUAGAGCUAAGACUUGGAUUCGGGCUUUUUUGUUUUUUUGUUUGUCUCAAGAUUUUUCUGUAUUCAAAUGUGAAUCUUUUUAUUACUGAGUAGUAUUCUACAGUACAGAUCUACCACAGUUUGUAUAGCC